UGGGGGAUCGGCUAACGGUAGGCCCACAGACUCUGACUCUGUUUGUCUAGGUUCGAAUCCUAGUCCCCCAGCCA
rnacentral:tRNA from 3 species